UACGUAGGGGGCUAGCGUUGUCCGGAAUCAUUGGGCGUAAAGAGCGUGUAGGCGGUCCGGUAAGUCCGCUGUGAAAGUCGGGGGCUCAACCCUCGAAUGCCGGUGGAUACUGUCGGGCUAGAGUGCGGAAGAGGCGAGUGGAAUUCCUGGUGUAGCGGUGAAAUGCGUAGAUAUUGGGAGGAACACCAGUGGCGAAGGCGGCUCACUGGACCGGUUCUGACGCUGAUGCGCGAAAGCGUGGGGAGCAAACGGG
rnacentral:rRNA from 1 species